CGGUGCUGGUCAGCAUGCCGUGACCAAGCGGAGAGGACUCCCGGAGCAGCCGUCUCAGACACAAGGGUGGACACGCUUUACGGUUGAUAAUGUAUCAUCAGAUAGGAUGUUGGCCCGAGGACGUAUACGGUUUCAGGAACACACAUUUCACAUUUGCCGAAGCACACGGGCCUAGCUUCAGAGCAUCUUAAAAGACUGAUGUCCUGCCAAAUAUGCUGACAUACUUUAGGCAAUACUGGCCUAAUCUCUACCUAACAACCCGCUUGGAUUGAAUUGC